UACGUAGGUGGCAAGCGUUAUCCGGAUUUAUUGGGCGUAAAGAGAGCGCAGGCGGUCUUUUAAGUCUGAUGCGAAAGCCUUCGGCUUAACCGGAGUAGUGCAUUGGAAACUGGGAGACUUGAGUGCAGAAGAGGAGAGUGGAACUCCAUGUGUAGCGGUGAAAUGCGUAGAUAUAUGGAAGAACACCAGUGGCGAAAGCGGCUCUCUGGUCUGUAACUGACGCUGAGGUUCGAAAGCGUGGGUAGCAAACAGG
rnacentral:rRNA from 1 species